rnacentral:misc_RNA from 1 species
GAUGAAGAACGUAGCGAAACGCGAUAAGUAAUGUGAAUUGCAGAAUUCAGUGAAUCAUCGAAUCUUUGAACGCACAUUGCGCCCGCUGGUAUUCCGGCGGGCAUGCCUGUUCGAGCGUCAUUUCAACCCUCAAGCCCCCGGGUUUGGUGUUGGGGAUCGGCUCUGCCUUCUGGCGGUGCCGCCCCCGAAAUACAUUGGCGGUCUCGCUGCAGCCUCCAUUGCGUAGUAGCUAACACCUCGCAACUGGAACGCGGCGCGGCCAUGCCGUAAAACCCCAACUUCUGAAUGUUGACCUCGGAUCAGGUAGGAAUACCCGCUGAACUUAAGCAUAUCAAUAAGCGGAGGA